AGAGGACUGAGGACUAAAACGAAAAUACUCUGCCUGCCAAAAAAGGCAGACGAUCCAGUGGCCCCAGGUUUACACACCAUCUGCUGGUUUGAGGCAGACUGACCGCUGGGGAGAUGGACCUCACCUGGCACCAUUACUCUGGAUGUAACAGCUCGACUCUCCUGUCAAUCAAAACAUCAAUGACUCGAGAAGCGGACAGCGAGGUUUCUGGUGCCUGGCUGGAGACGAGAUUCUGAUUAUUCAAGAGCCAAAACAAAACGUCAGAAUAAAUAGUUAGAAGGCAGAUUUGUUUUCUAUUUGUUGUUGUUUUCAUUAUUAAUGCUCCAUAACACAAAAUUCAUCAGUGCUGUAACUCUUGAGUUGAAUAAAAUGUUCUUCUUUCAAUCUGUUAUUUCUGGAGUCUUUUUAUUUUUAACCAUAAUCAUUUUUGGAAACGUUAUAUAUUAAAGGAACGCCCACAUUUUUAAUAGAAC